rnacentral:rRNA from 1 species
GACGAACCGCGCGAACGUUAUUCGGAAUUACUGGGCUUAAAGCGCGUGUAGGCGGAUCGGAACGUCGGAAUCUGAAAGCCCCCGGCUCAACCGGGGAAGCGGAGCCGAAACGACCGGUCUCGAGGGAUGGAGGGGGACCUGGAACUUCCGGUGGAGCGGUGAAAUGCGUUGAGAUCGGAAGGAACGCCGGCGGCGAAAGCGAGGUCCUGGACGUCCACUGACGCUGAGACGCGAAAGCUGGGGGAGCGAACGGG